rnacentral:lncRNA from 1 species
AUCCCUGAGAUUGGCUAGACCGCUGAGCUCACGUCGGCGGCGAGGACGAACCAUCGACCAAAUUCGCAAUCGCCGCCGCCGCAAUCGCCGUCCAAGCCUCGAUCCGCUAUCGUCGUCGCCUCCACCUACGAUGCUUCUCCCUACGCCAUCCCCUUUGUCCGUGCCUUCCAUGGCGACAUCGGGGGCUCAUAUAGUGAUUGCAUUGCAAGGGCGUCAGGCCUGCAGUCUCGUAGAGCAUGUAAUGGCGUCAGGCUCAUAUAGUGAUUGCAUCCGGGGACGCUGAAGCACUCGUCAAUCAUCACAAACAAUGAGCCUCCUAGGAGCUCGGAUCUGUAAUUUCUUCAAUUCCAAGUCCAAUUUGAUGCUCUAAUCUAAAUCCGGAUAGCUUUUAGAUCUUGGAAGAAUUGGGAUCAAAUCGCGCACAGAAGGAAGUGCUAAUGCAACGGAUUGCAGGUUGCUUAAUUCAGAAUUUCUCUGCUCGGUUGCUAGCUGAGCUAAUCUAGCGAGAGUUCAGUUGGGCGAGUUCUCUGAUUUUGAUUCUGAUUGUUUUGAUGUAGCUGCAGAAUGUUUGAGCGCGGCAUGGCCUCGGCCAUCGGCCUCAAUUCGCGUCGCCAUGGCCUCAACAAACGACUGUAUUGGAUCUCAG